GCAAGUCAACUUGACUGAGGAGCAAUCUGACAGUAGAGUGGCGCAAGGGUGCGUAACGCGUAAGUAACUUGCCCAAGGUAAGGAAUAACGUCGAGAAAUCGGCGCUAAUACCUCAUAAUGCAGCGGAUCCGCAUGGAUAUGUUGUUAAAGGUUUACCGCCUUGGGAUAGGCUUGCGUCUGAUUAGUUAGUUGGUGUGGUAACGGCACACCAAGGCUACGAUCAGUAACUGGUCUGAGAGGAUGAUCAGUCACACUGGAACUGAGACACGGUCCAGACUCCUACGGGAGGCAGCAGUGAGGAAUAUUGGGCAAUGCUCGAAAGAGUGACCCAGCAACGCCGCGUGGAGGAUGAAGGUAUUCUAUAUCGUAAACUCCUGUGAGAGCAGACGAAAGACAGAUUAUUAAUCUGGAUGACUGUAUGCUCAGAGGAAGCCCCGGCUAACUACGUG
rnacentral:rRNA from 1 species